UUAACUCAAUUUUGUAUGGAGUUGGAACGUCUGCCUACGUUUGCCGCUAGGGGCGCUGUUCCGACUGCAUACAAAUAUCAGUUA
rfam:Bombyx mori DNA, contig: Bm_scaf30_contig18931, strain: p50T/Dazao, build 2, whole genome shotgun sequence.